rnacentral:lncRNA from 1 species
CGGAAAGCGCGCGCCAGCUGCACGCAGGGAAACAGUUCUCAUUUUGUGUGCUCGGCUGACUGCACGUCCAGCCUCGGGCCAGCUCGAGACGGCCACAUUGUGAGUCUGUGGGAGGGGUUCUACCGAGACGAAUGGACUUUUCUGAGGCAGGGCCCAGGAGCUGUAAUUCGAGGGGCCUCAGAUCUCCCUGCCACCCACCUGCCAGGGCCUGGUUGAAGAUGGCUGAGCGUAAAACAGAAUGCAAGUCAGCUGGAGCACGUACUACUGGAGGCAGAGCCCCAUGAGAAGGGGCCAAGAACCCGCACCCAUCAAAAUCAAGAAGAAAGGCUGAACCCGGAGAGAAAAGGGAGCAACUGAUGUUGCCAUGCAGAUCCCUUGGUUGCUAUGAGAUGGUAACAUCACUCUGCCCCACCAUUGGCCAGUGCCUCCUCAGCUGCGGUGCCUCCCAGGCUGUGUGGUUCUCACGCGGGCCACUGACACAGAGCUGUUACUAUGGUGAACUUUACAAUUUCCUUUGAUUGGUGGAUUUCAGAAAUAGGCCAUCAGCGGAAUUCAUUAUAUUCAGCUAAGUAAAAAUGAAAAAUAAAUACUAUAACUUUCCCCUCAUCACUAACAUGAAGGAAACGUGACCCUUCAUGACAUAAUAAAUCGCUGUUCGGUAACUUAGGAUCCUUCAGGGGACUGAAGCGGGAUGAUCCUCCUAUGCCAAAUUUGGGUGGGAAAGAUAUUCCCUGUAGCUUUGAGUCGACUCUUCAGAGUUAAGGGCAGUGGGCCAACCAGAGUUGGAACUUCAGAGUUGGGAGGAGGUGUGGGAUGGGGCAUGCAUUGAAAUGUAAACUCUAUUGUCUCUGAAGUGAUGGGUGAUGCUGGGGGCCUGAGUGUGGAGGGCAGUUUUACAUCUCAGGACAAUGUUUUCUCAGAUGCUCUUCCAGAAAGAAAAGCCAGGAGUACUCCUGGCUGGAGGCGGCAUGCCUGAGGUCAGAGUCAAAGUAGGGUUUGUGCUGUCUGAAUCCUUUCUCCCACUCUCCCCAGCCUGGCUCAGCUUCUCAGCUUCUCAGGUGGAUUGGCCUCUGAGCCCAAGCCAAGCCAUCGCAUCCCCUGUGACUUGCCCGUAUAUAUGCCCAGAUGGCCUGAAGUAACUGAAGAAUCACAAAAGAAGUGAAUAUGCCUUGCCCCACCUUGACUGAUGACAUUCCACCACAAAAGAAGUGUAAAUGGCCGGUCCUUGCCUUAACUGAUGACAUUACCUUGUGAAAGUCCUUUUCCUGGCUCAUCCUGGCUCAAAAAGCACCCCCACUGAGCAUCUUGCGACUCCCACUCCUGCCCACUGAGCACCUUGUGACCCCCACUCCUGCCUGCCAGAGAACAAACCCCCUUUGACUGUAAUUUUCCUUUACCUACCCAAAUCCUAUAAAACGGCUCCACCCUUAUCUCCUUUUGCUGACUCUCUUUUCUGACUCAGCCCGCCUGCACCCAGGAGAUUAAAAGCUUUAUUGCUCACACAAA